rnacentral:rRNA from 1 species
CCUACGGGAGGCAGCAGUGGGGAAUAUUGCACAAUGGGGGAAACCCUGAUGCAGCGACGCCGCGUGAAGGAAGAAGUAUUUCGGUAUGUAAACUUCUAUCAGCCGGGAAGAAAAUGACGGUACCUGACUAAGAAGCUCCGGCUAACUACGUGCCAGCAGCCGCGGUAAUACGUAGGGGGCAAGCGUUAUCCGGAUUUACUGGGUGUAAAGGGAGCGUAGGCGGCGAUGCAAGUCAGAUGUGAAAGCCCGGGGCUCAACUUCGAGACUGCUUUUGAAACUGUAUGGAUAGAUUGCAGGAGAGGCGAGUGGAAUUCGUGGUGUAGCGGUGAAAUGCGUAGAUAUUAGGAGGAACACCAGUGGCGAAGGCAGCUUGCUGGACUGUAAAUGACACUGAGGCUCGAAAGCGUGGGGAGCAAACAGGAUUAGAUACCCCGGUAGUC